rnacentral:sRNA from 1 species
UUUUUUUUAAUAAUAUAUCAUGGUAAAAAUUGGUAAUGCGGUGAACACCCAUAUGCCGCACUUUUAUUCUACUAAAAGAAAAUAUGAAAAA